rnacentral:rRNA from 1 species
AUUGAACGCUGGCGGCAUGCUUUACACAUGCAAGUCAAACGGUAACAGGCCGCAAGGUGCUGACGAGUGGCGAACGGGUGAGUAAUGCAUCGGAACGUGCCCAGUCGUGGGGGAUAACGCAGCGAAAGCUGCGCUAAUACCGCAUACGAUCUAUGGAUGAAAGCGGGGGACCGUAAGGCCUCGCGCGAUUGGAGCGGCCGAUGUCAGAUUAGGUAGUUGGUGGGGUAAAGGCUCACCAAGCCAACGAUCUGUAGCUGGUCUGAGAGGACGACCAGCCACACUGGGACUGAGACACGGCCCAGACUCCUACGGGAGGCAGCAGUGGGGAAUUUUGGACAAUGGGCGCAAGCCUGAUCCAGCAAUGCCGCGUGCAGGAAGAAGGCCUUCGGGUUGUAAACUGCUUUUGUACGGAACGAAACGGUCCGGGUUAAUACCCUGGGCUAAUGACGGUACCGUAAGAAUAAGCACCGGCUAACUACGUGCCAGCCGCCGCGGUAAAAC